rnacentral:rRNA from 1 species
CAGCAGCCGCGGUAACACGGAGGGGGCUAGCGUUGUUCGGAAUUACUGGGCGUAAAGCGCGCGUAGGCGGCUUGGUAAGUUAGAGGUGAAAGCCUGGGGCUCAACCCCAGAAUUGCCUUUAAGACUGCCGAGCUAGUAGGUGAGAGAGGUAAGUGGAAUUCCGAGUGUAGAGGUGAAAUUCGUAGAUAUUCGGAAGAACACCAGUGGCGAAGGCGGCUUACUGGCUCAUUCUAGACGCUGAGGUGCGAAAGCGUGGGGAGCAAACAGGAUUAGAUACCCCGGUAGUCCCUGUCUCUUAUAC